rnacentral:rRNA from 1 species
UACGUAGGUGGCGAGCGUUGUCCGGAUUUAUUGGGCGUAAAGCGCGCGCAGGCGGUUGUCUAAGUCUGCUGUGAAAUCUCCCGGCUCAACUGGGAGGGGCGGCGGAGACUGGGCGACUGGAGGGACCUAGAGGCCGGUGGAAUUCCCGGUGUAGUGGUGAAAUGCGUAGAUAUCAGGAGGAACACCGGUGGUGUAAACGGCUUUCUGGACCAUAACUGACGCUGAGGCACGAAAGCGUGGGUAGCAAACAGG